rnacentral:rRNA from 1 species
AGCAGCCGCGGUAAUUCCAGCUCCAAUAGCGUAUAUUAAAGUUGUUGCAGUUAAAAAGCUCGUAGUUGAAUUUCGGGAUCAAUAUAUCGGUCGUGCCAUUGGUACGUACUGGUAUCAUUGGUUUCUCCUUUCUGACGAACCAUGAUGUCAUUAAUUUGGUGUUAUGGGAAGUUAGGACUGUUACUUUGAAAAAAAUUAGAGUGUUUAAAGCAGGCUUUAGCUUGAAUACAUUAGCAUGGAAUAAUGAAAUAGGACGUUCGAACCUAUUUUGUUGGUUUCUAGGAUCAACGUAAUGAUUAAUAGGGAUAGUUGGGGGGCAUUAGUAUUCAAUUGUCAGAGGUGAAAUUCUUGGAUUUAUUGAAGACUAACUACUGCGAAAGCAUUUGCCAAGGAUGUUUUCAUUAAUCAAGAACGAAAGUUAGGGGAUCGAAGACGAUCAGAUACCGUCGUAGUCUUAACCAUAAACUAUGCCGACUAGGGAUCGGAUGAUGUUAAUUUUUUAAUGACUCAUUCGGCGCCU